AUCACAGGUUAAACUAGGCUGUUCUGUACCACAUCACAGGUUAAACUAGGCUGUUCUGUACCACAUCACAGGUUAAACUAGGCUGUUCUGUACCACAUCACAGGUUAAACUAGGCUGUUCUGCUGUGUACCACAUCACAGGUUAAACUAGGCUGUUCUGUACCACAUCACAGGUUAAACUAGGCUGUUCUGUACCACAUCACAGGUUAAACUAGGCUGUUCUGCUGUGUACCACAUCACAGGUUAAACUAGGCUGUUCUGUACCACAUCACAGGUUAAACUAGGCUGUUCUGUACCACAUCACAGGUUAAACUAGGCUGUUCUGUACCACAUCACAGGUUCAACUAGGCUGUUCUGUACCACAUCACAGGUUAAACUAGGCUGUUCUGUACCACAUCACAGGUUAAACUAGGCUGUUCUGUACCACAUCACAGGUUAAACUAGGCUGUUCUGCUGUGUACCACAUCACAGGUUAAACUAGGCUGUUCUGUACCACAUCACAGGUUCAACUAGGCUGUUCUGUACCACAUCACAGGUUCAACUAGGCUGUUCUGUACCACAUCACAGGUUCAACUAGGCUGUUCUGUACCACAUCACAGGUUAAACUAGGCUGUUCUGUACCACAUCACAGGUUAAACUAGGCUGUUCUGCUGUGUACCACAUCACAGGUUAAACUAGGCUGUUCUGUACCACAUCACAGGUUAAACUAGGCUGUUCUGUACCACAUCACAGGUUAAACUAGGCUGUUCUGCUGUGUACCACAUCACAGGUUAAACUAGGCUGUUCUGUACCACAUCACAGGUUAAACUAGGCUGUUCUGUACCACAUCACAGGUUAAACUAGGCUGUUCUGUACCACAUCACAGGUUAAACUAGGCUGUUCUGCUGUGUACCACAUCACAGGUUAAACUAGGCUGUUCUGUACCACAUCACAGGUUAAACUAGGCUGUUCUGUACCACAUCACAGGUUAAACUAGGCUGUUCUGUACCACAUCACAGGUUAAACUAGGCUGUUCUGUACCACAUCACAGGUUAAACUAGGCUGUUCUGUACCACAUCACAGGUUAAACUAGGCUGUUCUGUACCACAUCACAGGUUAAACUAGGCUGUUCUGUACCACAUCACAGGUUAAACUAGGCUGUUCUGUACCACAUCACAGGUUAAACUAGGCUGUUCUGUACCACAUCACAG